UACGUAGGGUGCGAGCGUUAAUCGGAAUUACUGGGCGUAAAGCGUGCGCAGGCGGUUCGUUGUGUCGGCGGUGAAAGCCCCGGGCUUAACCUGGGAAUGGCCGUCGAAACUGGCGAACUGGAGUGUGGCAGAGGGGGGUGGAAUUCCGCGUGUAGCAGUGAAAUGCGUAGAGAUCCGGAGGAACCCCAGAGGCGAAGGCGGCCCCCUGGCUCGUACCUGACGCUCAGCCACGAAAGCAUGGGGAGCGAACGGG
rnacentral:rRNA from 1 species